CAGUAGCCUCGGGAAUACAGAGGGUGCGAGCGUUAAUCGGAUUUACUGGGCGUAAAGCGUGCGUAGGCGGCUUCUUAAGUCGGAUGUGAAAUCCCUGAGCUUAACUUAGGAAUUGCAUUCGAUACUGGGAAGCUAGAGUAUGGGAGAGGAUGGUAGAAUUCCAGGUGUAGCGGUGAAAUGCGUAGAGAUCUGGAGGAAUACCGAUGGCGAAGGCAGCCAUCUGGCCUAAUACUGACGCUGAGGUACGAAAGCAUGGGGAGCAAACAGGAUUAGAUACCCCGGUAGUCCCUGUCUCUUAUAA
rnacentral:rRNA from 1 species